rnacentral:rRNA from 1 species
CAGUAGCCGCGGGAAUACGAAGGGUGCAAGCGUUACUCGGAAUUACUGGGCGUAAAGCGUGCGUAGGUGGUGGUUUAAGUCCGUUGUGAAAGCCCUGGGCUCAACCUGGGAAUUGCAGUGGAUACUGGGUCACUAGAGUGUGGUAGAGGAUAGUGGAAUUUCCGGUGUAGCAGUGAAAUGCGUAGAGAUCGGAAGGAACAUCUGUGGCGAAGGCGACUAUCUGGGCCAACACUGACACUGAGGCACGAAAGCGUGGGGAGCAAACAGGAUUAGAGACCCCCGUAGUCCCUGUCUCUUAUAA